GUCGUAACAAGGUUUCUGUAGGUGAACCUGCAGAAGGAUCAUUAGUGAAGAUUUGGGCAGGCCAUACGGACGCCAAAAAGUGUCCCUGGCCGCCUACACCCACUAUACAUCCACAAACCCGUGUGCACUGUCUUGGAGAAAGGCUUCAGAGAAGUUUUUUGUGGCCUCUCUUGGGGUCUUUCUUCGCUACAAACUCGAAUGGUUAGUAUGAACGUGGAACUUGGUUGGACCGUCACUGGCCAACAAACUAUACACAACUUUCGACAACGGAUCUCUUGGUUCUCCCAUCGAUGAAGAACGCAGCGAAACGCGAUAGGUAAUGUGAAUUGCAGAAUUCCGUGAAUCAUCGAAUCUUUGAACGCACCUUGCGCUCUAUGGCAAUCCGUAGAGCAUGCCUGUUUGAGUGCCAUGAAAUCUCCCACCCCAAGCGGUUUUUACAUGAAACGGCUUGGCGGAUGGGGUCUGGAUGGGUGCCUCUGCCUGCGCUACCUAGCACAGGCUCGCCCGAAAUGCAUGAGCGCCUUGAGACACUUUGCAUCCGCCUCUCUGUUUGGGAGGAGGCGGCCAAGCAGUGUUUUUCUCCUGGCAUGGCAUGAUACGUCAUUUGCUAUGUCGCCUAAAGGAGGAAUGUUUGGUUGUGUCUGCGUGUGCUUCGAACUUGCCUCUGUGGCACAUCCCAAUUUCACUUCUGGUCUCAAAUCAGGUAGGAUCACCCGCUGAACUUAAGCAUAUCAAUAGUCG
rnacentral:rRNA from 1 species